UUUAAGAGCUAUUACAAAGUUAUAGUAAUCAAUGAUCUCGGAAGCUAAGCAGGGUCAAGCCUGAUUAGUACUUGGAUGGGAGACCACUUAGGAAGACCAGGUGCUGUAGGCG
rnacentral:rRNA from 1 species